UGACUAUGUUGUGUGCUGUGGUUGCUGCGUUCUCCUGGUACUGGGGGCUCCUGAGGUGUGGAAGGCUGUUCCAGUGCAGGAGUACAACUCCAUGUUGGCUACAGGAGACUUCGGGGCACGUUUGACAAGCGCAGCUAUCAAGAGGAAGCUAACACUGCUGCAUCGUUGGCUUCAGAAACCUCUCGUGGUUAUGCUGUCUGUUAGAAUUAAUGUGACAUGCAGAUGAAGACACCUUGAAAUGCAAGCUUGCCCUUGAUUGCCUUGACAUACUUUAACCUCCUGUGGAUAACGAACCUAGUGCUGUCCUGCAGCCAUGCGGGACCAUUGCUAGGCUGUGCCUUUCGCCAAAAGGAUGCCAUGGUUGUGCUCGCCAAGGUUCCUGGGGCAGGGAGCUGUGUAAAUCCCUAACACAGGUCCUUUGUGCUGUGGCAGAUAACACCGUGCCUGCAAGAGAGUGAGUGGCCACAGGGCAGCAUCCUUCUCACAGAAAGAGAGCUCUGUGGAAUGACUGUUCUCCAUAUCCUCGUGGAAGUUUGAUCCCUAUCUCCGGCCUUGCUAAUUAUUCCUAUGAAUACAAUAAGCUAGAAUCUCCUGCUGGUUUUGGUACUUCUGAGGUCCUCAUCCCAAGAGGGAUAUUGAAGCCGGAGGUCACUGAUGGGAAGGAGGAUCCCAUGGUGCUGGAUGUGGUGAUGUGGGUGCUGCUCCCAUGACCCUGAUGGUUUGGCUGUGGUUUGUUCUCCAGGGUGGGAUCUGGGGUUGCUGUCUGAAAGGCUCUGGGAUUUGGACAGGAAAAGGGCCUGGACAGGACCAGGUUGGAUGGGGCUUGGAGCAACCUGGUCUAGUGGAAGGUGUCCAUGCCCAUGGCAGGGGGAUUGGAACUGGAUGAUCCUUUCCAAGCCAAACCAUUCUGUGACACUAACAGAGUCAUUUGUAAGUGGUGCAGGACAACACUCCAGCUGAAUGCUGAUGUAUUGAAAUGAUAUUUAAGCAUCUUUCGGAAUGGUUUGAAAUGUGGAGGAUUUGGGGGGGCUGUUGAAGGACCAGCAGGGGUUGGAGCUGGAGGAGCUUUAAGGACCCUUCCAACCCAAACCAGGCUGGGAUUCUGUGUUUGAAUUGCUGCUCUGCAAUCAAAACCUUUGUUUAUCCCUGAGCAGCAAUAGCUGGUGUGGGAAUGCAGGUAACAUUUAGAUAAGAGCAUCCUGAUUCAUGUGCCAGCACAGCUUUCAAAUUACUCCAUCCCCUUUGGCCACCCAGAUUUGCUGGGGCUGGUGUUUGGGUGCUGGAAUCUGGUUUGUAGCUGUGGGUGCCAGGGUUUAUUUCAGUUGCACUCUGAGGUACUGGUUUACGCUGCUUUACAGAAAUAGAACGUACCCAUCUCUCCUUAGCUUUUCUGUGGCUGGCAGAUAACGUUUGUUCUGUCUUGUCCUGGUUUGCUUUGGGUUUGUCAGCAGGGCAGAAGUGUCCAGCAGUGCUGAUGGGUGAGAAGCUGUGAUGGAGCCUUCAAACUCUGGGCUUUGGGACAGGCUGCCUCCAGGCUUGUACUUAAACAGAUUUGCAGCACAGGGAGGACCAGAGCCAUGAACCCACCGCAGAAAACAGCAAAGGCCACCACGUAGGUCAUGAGCAAGGGGAAGGUGGUGGCCAGAGGACAGAGCAGGUUAGUGAUGCCGCUGAGGACAAGGUAAGCUGCAUGGUAGUGAUACUUCUUGGUCCAGUUCUUGUCGGCCACCCAGCCUGAGAGGAGCUGGCUGACCAUCUCCAUGAUGCCUGCGGGGAACAGGAGAGCACCAGAGCCUCAAAGAUGACUUUAUUUACUCUCUAGUUUGCUAUUUCACACCAAACCCCAUCCCAAUCCCACCCGCUUGCUGCAGGGAUGUGACUGCAAAGGGCUGGAGCGCUGGGAAGUUCCAGGAAGGUGAUUUUAGACUGAUGUAAGAUUAAUGUUUGAGGGUUCUUUUCCCCUUUGCCUUGGUGCCUGCUAUUGCCAAGUGCCUGUGGGUGCACCAGGGUGGUCUGUACAGAUGCAGUUAAGGGCUGUGCACUCAGUGGAAGACUCCACAGUGCCUUUAGUAAAAGCAGGCAAGAGAAGCUUGCUCUUUGAGCUCUCUUUUGGGAUGGAAUAAAAGCUGAAUAUUAAGGAGAAAGAUGCUGAUGAGAUGGUCACAUCUAUAAGGAAGCCAAAGAGGUCAGAAACCCUUUUUGACAGGCUCAGCAGACCUUUGAUACUUGCUUUUUACAUCUCUUGCUCCAUUUGCUUAUGAACUAAAGAUCAGAGGAGUGCUCACUGCACAGCAAAGAGCUUGCUGACCAUGGUGUCCCUCCCACUCUUAAUCAAAAUGUCAGCCUAAUUGCUGCCUUCUCCUUCUGGAUGCCUUGACAGCAGA